UCCCCUAGUAACUGCGAGUGAAGAGGGAUAAGCUCAAAUUUUAAAUCUGAUGGGUCCUACUUAUCAGAAUUGUAAUUUGAAGAAACGUCUUCUGUGUCUUGUUAACCUAAAUCUUUUGGAACAAGGUAUCAUGGAGGGUGACAAUCCCGUUCAUGGUUAACAUCAAGAUACGUUACGAUACGUUUUCUAAGAGUCGAGUUGUUUGGGAUUGCAGCUCAAAAUGGGAGGUAAAUUUCUCCUAAGGCUAAAUAUUGGCGAGAGACCGAUAGCGAACAAGUACCGUGAGGGAAAGAUGAAAAGAACUUUGAAAAGAGAGUUAAACAGUACGUGAAAUUGUUGAAAGGGAAACGAUUGAAGUCAGUCGUACUAACGGGAAAUCAACCUAUUUGAGUUGUGAAUUUUGGAUUUUGAAGAGUGUAAACCUUCGGGUUCAAAUAUUCGCGCUUUUUGGGCGUAAUUUCUCGUUCGGUAGGUUAACAUCGAUUUUGAAUAUUAUAAAAUGACUGGAGGAAUGUAGCUUGGAUCUCGUAUUGAAGUGUUAUAGCCUUUGGUAGAUGUAAUGAUCAAGAUCGAGGAUUGCAACGAAUACCCU
rnacentral:rRNA from 1 species